rnacentral:rRNA from 1 species
GAUGAACGCUAGCGGCAGGCCUAACACAUGCAAGUCGAGGGAGAAGCCCUUUCGGGGGCAGAAACCGGCGCACGGGUGCGUAACGCGUAUGCAACCUACCUUUCACAGGGGGAUAGCCCGAAGAAAUUUGGAUUAAUACCCCAUAAUAUUAUUGGAUGGCAUCAUUUGAUAAUUAAAACUGCGGUGGUAAAAGAUGGGCAUGCGUCCUAUUAGCUAGUUGGAGUGGUAACGGCACCCCAAGGCUACGAUAGGUAGGGGUCCUGAGAGGGAGAUCCCCCACACUGGUACUGAGACAGGGACCAGACUCCUACGGGAGGCAGCAGUGAGGAAUAUUGGUCAAUGGUCGGAAGACUGAACCAGCCAUGCCGCGUGCAGGAAGAAUGCCUUAUGGGUUGUAAACUGCUUUUAUAUGGGAAGAAUAAGGCGUACGUGUACGUUGAUGACGGUACCAUAUGAAUAAGCAUCGGCUAACUCCGUG